rnacentral:snRNA from 15 species
AAACUUAUCUGGCGCAGGGUUCAGGGGGGAUCAAGAAGGCUCUGAACCCGAGUGGUGGCUUACCAUUGCUCCUCGAUGGGUUGAAACUCGCGAAGGACCCUAAUCGGAUGCGCUUGGAUGUAUGAGUUUUGUCAGCGGUUAGGCACCACGGUACCCCCUUUU